rnacentral:rRNA from 1 species
UACGUAGGUGGCGAGCGUUAUCCGGAUUUAUUGGGUUUAAAGGGUGCGCAGGCGGAUUUUUAAGUCAGCGGUGAAAGUCUGUGGCUCAACCAUAGAAUUGCCGUUGAAACUGGGGGGCUUGAGUAUGUUUGAGGCAGGCGGAAUGCGUGGUGUAGCGGUGAAAUGCGUAGAUAUUAGGAGGAACACCAGUGGCGAAGGCGGCUCACUGGACGAUGACUGACGCUGAGGCUCGAAAGCGUGGGGAGCAAACAGG